rnacentral:piRNA from 1 species
UUGGUGAUAACUUCUAGACACUGGGAGAAA